rnacentral:rRNA from 1 species
AACGAACGCUGGCGGCAGGCCUAACACAUGCAAGUCGAACGCCGUAGCAAUACGGAGUGGCAGACGGGUGAGUAACGCGUGGGAACCUUCCCAAUGGUACGGAAUAGCUCAGGGAAGCUUGGGGUAAUACCGUAUACGCCCGAAAGGGGAAAGAUUUAUCGCCAUUGGAUGGGCCCGCGUAGGAUUAGCUAGUUGGUGAGGUAAUGGCUCACCAAGGCGACGAUCCUUAGCUGGUCUGAGAGGACGACCAGCCACACUGGGACUGAGACACGGCCCAGACUCCUACGGGAGGCAGCAGUGGGGAAUAUUGGACAAUGGGCGAAAGCCUGAUCCAGCCAUGCCGCGUGAGUGAUGAAGGCCUUAGGGUUGUAAUGCUCUUUUGGCGGGGAAGAUAAUGACGGUACCCGCAGAAUAAGCCCCGGCUAACUUCGUGCCAGCAGCCGCCGUAACAC